rnacentral:lncRNA from 1 species
GCCUUCUGCUAUGCUGUCACCUGUGUCAUAGUGUCCCAUUGAAAAGUAUAGCAGUAGGUUCAGCAGGUCAUGCUGAUUAUCUGUGUCCCACCUCAGGGACUUCAAGGUCUUUUAGGUAACAGGGGCCAGGAUGGUACACGAGGAGCCCCGGUAAGAACAUUUAACAGUAUAUACAAACAUUCAUAUGUCUGCUUAUAUCAAAAUAUAAGAAAUGCACUGCUCACAAGCAUAUCUCUCAGACUCAAAUAUCUUUUUUCCAGGGUCCAGUUGGUACAAAUGGAAUGAAUGGGAACAGAGGCCCUUCAGGACCAAAGGGACUGCCUGGAAAAGCAGGAUUUCCUGGCAUCCAAGGACCUGUAGGGAAGAGUGGGGAACCUGGCAGUAGAGGAAUAAAGGGGACACCGGGGAAGCCAGGAGAGAGAGGGGUUAAAGGUAAAGAAGGCCCUGGUGGACCCACAGGAAGUGAAGGGUUAAAGGGUAAGAGAGGUGAGGAAGGACCACAGGGAAAACAAGGCCCCGCAGGUAACAGAGGAGCUCCUGGACCACAAGGUUUCAGAGGACCUCCUGUAAGAUGAUUAUUAUGGUUAUUCAGUCCUUUUAAACUCUCUUUUCUCCGAGGCAUGCAUCAUAUGAAGGUUUUGCUGAUGAUAUCUCCAUCUUAAUGACGGAUGGCUGAUAUUAUAUGUUAGGGUCCCUCAUGAGCAUGCCUGUCAUGAUGUAACAGCAGUCAACUUUAUCCACACAGUUAUGUUAGGAUUAUACUCAACUCACAACUGAGAGGUCUUUUGUUUAUUCUUUCCAUCAGGGUAUCCAGGGUAACAUUGGAACAUGGGGUGAGGAAGGGACCCGUGGCCCUCCGGGUGACCAAGGGCCACAAGGCCCAACUGGCCCUCGUGGAGUUACAGGUUACCCUGUGAGUUUAGUUUUAUGUUUUGUUACCAAGUUUAAUCUUAAUUUUCUG